CUUCCCUCCUUUGAAAGUGUUCUUGCUCUCAUCAUCAAAGAUAUAUACACGCAAGGUUGUUACUCUUCUCUGCAACAACAACACUGCACCAUGAAUCACAUAGGAAGUGUUCUUGCUCUCAUCAUGUUGAUCACACCAACCGCUACCCAUGCAUUUGGGAACUAAGUUUACUGGUAUAAGAUGUUACCCGAACUCUCCCAUCCCCAGAGCCAUCUUGGACCUCAUAUGCUCUGAUGAACUGGACAAAGAUAAGUUCAAUGUUGAUCUUAGUGAUGAAGUGAACAACUUCUAGUAUAUUGCAUACAUUGACAAUGAGGCACAAGUCCAUGGUGCCCUUAACGGAACACUCUUCUUUCUAGAAAAGGACUUGAAUCCAGGUUCCAAAUUUGACCUCCGCUUCACCAAGAUGAC